UAUAUAACAGGCAGCAGCGCACCAGGUCCGCUUUGUGUCGGGACGGGACCGGGACCAGGACCGGGACAGCGGGGGGACCGAGAAACGGAAGACGAUGGCCACCGAGACGCUUCCCGCUGGGGACCGAGGCUUCUAUCCAACUGUACCCGUCCAUGACGCAAACACAGAGGUUUCCGUAGAAACAGAAGUAAAAGCUGGACUGAGCGCGUGGCAGGCUUUAAACACUGCCUCGCGCUAAACUAAUGGAACGAUAUUUAACUGGGAUUUAAUUCUGAUUUACAGAUGGGACCAAGAAAUGGGUUUGGUUUCAUAAAACGUGGUUCUGUAUGGGGAAACAACUGCUUCAUGUUCUGGUUUACCCGGGAAAAAUCAUAUAAGUAACUUUGUCUAAAGAAACCUUUAAAAAAAUUUAAGUUACUACGAUGAACUUCCAGUUAUUGUCAAACCACAGCCUGGAGGGAAAAGACUAAAGUACAAAGAAGGUUUGGACAUCUGAUCCUUUGAAGGUCAAAUGAAAGACAGCUGGAGCUGGCCAGGACCGGUUUAGACCGGUUUAAACCUGAUCUGCAGUAGGUCUGGGAAGGUUCUGGAAGAGCCGUAAACAGCUCGUGGGGGCGGGGCCAGUGGGGGCGGGGCGGGUCUGGAAUGUUCGGAGAGCAGCUCGAGGGUUCCCUCUAGUGGCGAUGCUGCUCUAUGACGCUCUGCCGCAGGUUUGUAUGCAAAGUAGAAAACCAAUAAACAUUCAGUAGUUUUGUGACAUCGGUGCCUGAUAACAGUAUUGUGUUAAAUGCUGAGUUAUAUUAGCUUCUAUGGUAAUCUGUAAAGAUAAACUGUAAUACUGUCUGGCUAUGUACCCCACCCUUACAUAAGAGCUGUAAUUAUUUCUGCAGGUUCAGUUGUAAAGUCUUUAAUAUGAAUAAAAUGUGUUGGAGAAAGAAAAUGUGUCAAGAGCGUUGCGUAACUGCACUAACAUCUAUGCCUGCCCUGGACUAGCAGGAACUAGAGAACAUAAAAAAUGCCACCAAGGACCAAAGCUAAAACAUUACGCACCACGAGGGCUUAUAAAGGACAUAUUUUUAAAGACUAUUACUAGAAGUAUAUAGUAUAAUAUUGAAUACAAUUGGGAUUGGCUGUUUAACCCACUAUGUGUCCAUUUAGUCUAAAGCAAAUAUUUUAAAGGUGCAUAUGUGCAAUACUGAGCAUCAAGAUGAGUUUAUGGACCAGAAAAUCUGAUGUCUGUUUGCCUCCUAGCAUUGGUGUAAAAAAAAAAAA